CAGAAACAUAAAUACUGAGUAACAGAAAUGCAGAAAACAAAGAUAGUGGUGAUUAGGUGUGAAUAUUUUUAUCAUCUUCUGUGUUGUGUACACCUCAGAAUGAAGUCACUAGACGUGAUUUAGAAUCGUCCAUGGAUAUGAGCUAUGGGUUUGCCUCUGCGAAAUAGGAGAUGGAGAUUACUAGUGGAUGCACUGGACCAGAAAUGAGGAUUCUUCCUUGAGUGCCAGCCUAGGAUGGCAUCUUGGUCAUAGGAGCCCGGACACCCAUAAUAGAAGCUCAAGGCGAUUUCAGCCUCCAUUUUGAUCAAACUUCUCCUUUUCAGGUUGCUAUGGGACAGAGACCCAG